rnacentral:rRNA from 1 species
GCGAUACUUGGUGUGAAUUGCAGAAUCCCGUGAACCAUCGAGUCUUUGAACGCAAGUUGCGCCCGAAGCCAUUAGGCCAAGGGCACGUCUGCCUGGGCGUCACGC